rnacentral:rRNA from 1 species
CCCUUAGAUGUUCUGGGCCGCACGCGCGUUACACUGAUGCAUUCAACGAGCUUAUAACCUUGGCCGAGAGGCCUGGGCAAUCUUGUUAACGUGCAUCGUGAUAGGGAUAGAUUAUUGAAAUUAUUAAUCUUGAACGAGGAAUUCCUAGUAAACGCAGAUCAUCAAUCUGCAUUGAUUACGUCCCUGCCCUUUGUACACACCGCCCGUCGCUCCUACCGAUUGAAUGCUCAGGUGAGCCAUUCGGACUUUCAUCAUGCUGGUUUCCAGUUUUGAUGAAGGAAAGUCUUGCGAACCUUAUCAUUUAGAGGAAGGAGAAGUCGUAACA